CACAGCUUCAUACAAAGCAAUCACACAAAUGGGCAAGCAGAUGCCGAACUGUAGCCGAGGACUUCUGCUUCUGUUGUUGGCCCUUCUAGGCUGUUUUAGCAUUCCUGGCCAUCUGUAUGGUAAAAAUCUAGAUUACACCAGGAGUGCAUCCAUGAAUGAAGGACGCAACAAUGUCAAUAUAAAUGGUUUGGUACCCGUACCAUGCAACAUUUUCUCCCCAUCGAAGGUCUGCUGUAGAAAUGUACGCUACCCUAGCUUGCAAGCCUGUGAGGCAAAUUGCAAGCCAAUUGUUUGAUCGGCUUAUCAAGCCUGUAAUAGUAAAGAAAUGAUAAUAAUAUUAUCCGUUGUUCACCAAGCAAGAGAAUAAUCAAUCUCCUCAGAGAUGAAUAUGGAUUGUCUGUUUGUCUAGGGGAAAA